rnacentral:misc_RNA from 1 species
UCUCCGUUGGUGAACCAGCGGAGGGAUCAUUACCGAGUUUACAACUCCCAAACCCCUGUGAACAUACCUUAAUGUUGCCUCGGCGGAUCAGCCCGCUCCCGGUAAAACGGGACGGCCCGCCAGAGGACCCUAAACUCUGACUUUAUUGUAACUUCUGAGUAAAACAAACAAAUAAAUCAAAACUUUCAACAACGGAUCUCUUGGUUCUG